rnacentral:rRNA from 1 species
UACGGGGGGGGCAAGCGUUGUUCGGAAUUACUGGGCGUAAAGGGUUUGUAGGUGGCUUGCUAAGUCAGACGUGAAAUCCCUCAGCUUAACUGGGGAACUGCGUCUGAGACUGGUGAGCUUGAGUGCAGGAGAGGAGCGCGGAAUUCCAGGUGUAGCGGUGAAAUGCGCAGAUAUCAGGAGGAACACCCGUGGCGAAAGCGGCUCUCUGGGACGGUACUGACGCUGAGACGCGAAAGCGUGGGGAGCAAACAGG